UUUUCUUUUAAUCUCCUCUCUCACAUUCUCAGUUCUCACGUUUUCUCAAAAAACCCUAAAUCAUCUACCGCCGCUUACCACUCUCCACCAUCACAUUCUUCUAUAUGAAACAAUUCUACAUGAUUCGAUCGAAACUGAAUUAAAGAUUCAGAUCCCAUCUAUCUCUGAUUCCUUUCAAAAACUCUACAUCUAUACCAGCCGAUUCUCAUCAAAGCGAUUAUCAUAAACCCUAAAUAAACCCUCAAUUGGAACCAGUCGAAUGCUAAUCCAUAAUGAUGAACGAAAAUGGCCAGAAUAUGGACCCGGGUUCGUGCGUGUUGGUGGGUUUGUACUGUGGAGAUGGUGGUGAUAAGACGAUAAAAGCUCUAAUGGGUGUACAUUGAUCGACAGAAAGCUUAAUCAGAUAAUGCUUGCUUAUAGAUAUUAUGAACUUGAACCAUAAACGAUAAAAGAAGACAUAUUGGAUGUUGUUAGCUGGAACGAACUCAGGUAUUUUGUUUUUCAUGGUAACUUUUAUGCUGAUGGGGCUGAAGCAUACCAAAUGGAAUUUUGGAUCAGACAUAUUGAUGGAUCACGUUUCAAAUCAGAUGCAGAGAGACAGAAAGUGAUACAAUUUUCUUGAAGUAGCGAUAUAGAGAAGAGUUUCCGCGGAGCUAAAGAUAUAGAUACACACGAAAGACAGAGUUGGGUUAUUAUCUGACGCUAUGCACUUAAUAGCAUGCUAUAACGAUGUUAAUUCUUACAAGGUCACAUAGUUGAUCUAAAUAAACACUACAAAUCCAUGUUGUUUGAUUUUCUUAACGGGUCAGACUAUCGCUUGGAUUCUUGGUUAGCUUGCAGGUGACAUUUCAUGGGUCAGGUCGCCACAUGCAUUUGUUAUGGCGGCGAAGGUUAAUCAGAAACGACGACGUAUUUUGUGAAAUUGGUGAAGAGUUUGUUUCAAACUGAUGGAUGGAUCUGGUUAUCGUCAUGUUUGGCCUGUAGCACUGGCAUUGUCACAAUGGAUAGUGGUUGGUGAAGGAAUAAAGAUAGUGUGCAGGUCAUGAGGGUUGCUUGGCAUGCGGGUUUUACAGCUCAACUUCAACAAAACGGUUCAUCCAAUGCUGGUGAAGUUAGAAUUUCUUCUGGUUGUUGCAUUUUGUAACUACUUGAAAGGAAUCGCAUCUGAUCGGGAUGCAAAUAUACAGUUAAGAGCUUGAAAUGGGCCAGUCAGUACAUAUGGGCACUAUCCUUGCUGGUGAUUUUAUGGUGGCAUUUUGGCUCACCAAAUUGACUACUACUGAUUGUUGCGGGUGCUCAUCGGGACAGAACCAGAAAGUACCAACACCGGAAGAUUAAAAUAUCAAACCGAGAGAACCAAACCUAUCUAAACGAGUUUCGUUUAAGACUGUAACGAUUUGCGUUUUGGAUUCCUAAUUCUUACAAGGAGUGUAAUAGUUUUUUAGCGUUCUAAGGGAAAUGACCACCAUACCUACCUAAUAUAUAUAUAAAUUUUUUUGUUUUGUUACUUAUCUUUACUUUGCUUUCAUAAUUAAAUUGGUGUCGAAUUUUGGGUGCAGGCCAUGGAUACCAAAGACAAGGAGAGCAAAUAAUUAAUUGGACAUAGAGUUUUUGUUAUUGCUGAGAGGCAUGAGUGGAGCUGGUGGUUUGAGUGCGAAAAUCUGGUGGCAGAUGAGUUGUUAGUGGUUGUGGGCGGUGGUGAUUGUUAGCCAUACCAUUGUGGUGAUUAAGGAAUAGAGGGAUGGUUUUCAACAACCGGUGAGCCAUUUGUAGUAAAGGAGGAUGAUUUCCAGUUUCAUUCCAAGAGGAUGAAUGCGAUAGUGGAGUUAAAGAAGACAUCAUGAAAACAUCAUGAAGGUUUAGUUGACAAAAACUUAAUUUGUAACGAACAUUAUGUAAAUGUACUAUUUGGACGUGCUCAACUAUCUCAAAAUAUUAGGUUUAACAAAUCACACUUUA
rnacentral:lncRNA from 1 species